CCAUGAGGAACACCGCAGUGACACACACUGAUGUUUACUGGUACAGACUGUCCACAGAACAAAUUAUGGAGCAGGUUUUAACACAUCCUCCACGCAAUGGAGCCCAGGUUUCACUGAGCGAUUCCAGCAUUUCAGAGACCCUUCCUGUAACAGCUUCAUUCUGACCAUCACAAACGUGCAGCCCAGUGACACUGGGGUAUAUUACUGCUCAGUCUGGAGAAUGAUCUAUGGGAGAGGAAGCCAACUUAUUGUCAACAGCAUCAGUAGUCCAGUCGUUCUCCAGUCUCCAAGCCUGGAACAUGUCACCCAGGAUCACACUGCCCGGUUCCACUGCACCAUGAGGAACACCACAGUGACACAUACCGAUGUUCACUGGUACCGACUCUCCACAGAAGAAAUUAUGGAGUGGGUUUUAAUACAUUCAGAAAGUGGCUCCACAGAAUGGAACCCAGGAUUCACUGAGCAUUUCCAGCCUUCCAUAGAUACCUCCAGUAACAGUUUCAUUCUGACCAUCACAAACGUGCAGCCCAAUGACACUGGGGUCUAUUACUGCUCAAUCUGGGGAAGGAUCUAUGGGAGAGGAAGCCAGCUCAAUAUCACCAGUACGUAGAGUUGACAUGACAAUCUCCUCCAGCAAUAACCUCUGAUCAAAUGAAUGAAUUGGAGAUCAGUAUGUUAUCAAGAAG